AGAUGUCGAUUGCAAGAAGUGCACGUUUAAAGUCAUUUACUACGAUUGAGAUAUGAGUAUGAAAAAUAGGGUUAACGCAGUUCCUUUUGGUAUAUAUAAAGGGUUUAGACAAGAUCCAUCGUGGUUCAAAAGGGGCCGCUCCACCAGAAAUUGUAGCUGCGGGAAGAAGGGGAGCCCUGCUGCCUGCAUUGCUUGUAGGUACAACUUUUUUUUUGAAAUAUUGGUUUCCAACAUUUUGUUGAAGAUACUGAGCAUACACGAAACACUUCAGCGGGUGGACAUUGAAGAAUGUGAUCCCCAGAAGAGAUGGGCGGGCGAGGAAGUUGCUUAAUAUGGUAUUUGGUAGGUAUAAUUGUUUCUCUUUGAUCGCCGGUGGCGUUAGGAUAUCCGGUUGGGUAAUUUUGUAUUUUGCAACUUUGAAGAAUUUAAAAUGUGCCAUGAUUGAUGUCGAAAUGAUGAAAAUGAUAUUUUUGUUCUUUUUUUGGUGGAACAUGAGAAUUAUCUACUUAUUAUGUCAA